rnacentral:lncRNA from 1 species
UUAGAAUUGAGGAAGAAAUCAUUUUUCCUUCUUCUAGCUGAUACUGUCGAGUUUUUCCCCCAAAAGCAGAAUCACCAUUUUCUUCCUUCAAGUUCAAUUCGGAGAGAAAUUUCAUAUAGUAGCUGCAAUACUUUGAUAAUAAAGGUGAAUUUCUUUGAUCCUCUGUUAUCUCUGCGAUUUUAGCUUGAAGAAAAUUUAUUCUUUUAAUUCUAGGGUUUUCGAAAAUUUGGGAGUUUUAUGCUAGAGUUGAAGUAUGAUCUUAAUAUUGAGAUAUAUUAAGUUUUUGAUGAUCCUAAGCAUGGUUAUGGUGGCUAAUUGUGUUAAUUCUUACUUGAUUUUAAUUUUGCUCAAGUUAGUUUGAACCCUAGGUUAGAGUUUGAGAGUUAUGAUUAUGUUCUUGAAUAAUUGAGUUCAUAUAUGUGUUUUUGAGCUGGAAUUAUGUCAUAUAUGAAUAAAUUAUGAGUCUACACCACAUAGUUUGUGAGAUUGACUUUGUUAGUUUAAGUGGAUUUGAGAAUUCUUGAUGUAAGAUAGCUAUAUAUGUUUGAAGCUUGUAUAAUUGUACUCUUGAGAUUGUAAAAUGAGAUUAUAUGAUAGAAAUUGGAGGAUAUUAAGCAUGCUACUAUAUGUUGAUGUGUAGAACAUGAAUUAAGUUAAGCUAAAGCAUGCUAAUGUGUAUUAAGAUGAUGUAUUUGAGUUCCUAUAGCUGUUAUUUGAGGAAAAUAUGAGUUAUAUGUUAAGUUGAAGCAAGGGGACAUUGCUGUCAGUUUUUGGCUUGACAGGACAGUAUCUUGCGGGAGGAUUUUGAUGAUGUUUCCAUAGUCCAAAUGACUUGAAAUUUUUACAGUAAUAACUUCAUCAUGAGUAGUACGUGUCUACAAAAUUUCAGCUAAAUCCGAGACCAUUGGAUGUGUCAAACGAAUUUCUGAAAUGUACUGCACGAAGCAGCGAAGUUUAGUGGCAGAUUCUGCCUUUUGUGAUAUAACUUUUCAUACACUUGAUGUAUUGUAUUUUUGUAACUUUCUAAUAAAAAUAGACUUUGAGUGAUUUCUAAAAAUGUAAAGCUUGUAUUUUUCUUUAAAGAGGUUGAUUUUAUAUGAUAUUUCAAAGUUGAGAUUCAUAUAUGAUUACAUAUUUGAGAUUUCUUACUUGGGAUAGUUAUAAAUAGAAUCUAUGCUAAGUGAUUGAUGUUUAGUUAUUAAUUGUAAGCUAAUCUAUAUAGAAUGGAUUAGUUUACUCUUAAGCUUUUCUCAAUUUGAGAUAUCCCAAGAGAUGUGAUGUUACUAUUUGCUUUUAGUUAAGUCCAUAUAAGUAGAAUACUCAGAUUAGAGGAUGCAACUUUCAAGUGAUAGAAGUUUCAUUCAAGAUUUACUUUCUAUUUACUUACUUAUUAUCCAAUCUUACCUGGGAACCUCAUUAUAAUGAAGGUUCGAGUGGCUAUAAAGUGAACAAGCAAGGACUUUUACUUCAUUAAGUAUAUCAGGUGGGCUUACUAACUCAAGAAGUAAAGAUGCAUACUUUAUUAUAUAAAGUUUGAGUGUAUGCAUUUAUUUUCCAAUUAUUGACUUGCCAAUAUUUGAGAUUUGUAUGAUACCAUCUACAUAGAACAACGAAUUCGGGUCCUGAGCGAGUCAGGAUUUGUGUACACAGAGUUGGCAGUUAACCUUUGUGUUAGCUUGUCAUCGUGUUUGAGAAGGAGGCCUACUUCUCAACACUCAGAGUUAUAUGAUGCGUAGAUAUGGUACAUACAUGUUAAUUGUCUGCAGACGUAUAUGAUGCUAUGAUGAUUAUAGAGAAGUUUUACAGUUUUGCAUUCACAAGUUAUUUAAAUAAAACUCCUGUGUGAUGUUUGAGAUGGCAAGUUCAAUAUAUAGCUCUAAGAGCAAGCUUUAAAGUUAUUUCGGCAUGACCACUGAGUGCUUUUUGGUACUCAGCCCUGCGUAUGUUUCUAAAUAUGCAGGUUAAGCUGUGGUGCAGAUGGAAGCGAGCAGAGCAAAUUCUUUGAUGUAUAUGUAUUAAACCAGGCUCAGGAUUUCAUGUCUUCAUACAUGUAAUCCACUUGAGUUAUUCCGCUGCAACACUUAGUGUAUUUUACUUUGUGGACGUGUUGUAAAGAUUUUAAAUUAAUAGCUUUGAGAAUUGUCACUUGAUACUUAGACAACUUGUCGUUGUGUUAUUGUAAGUUGUCUACUCGUGAGUUUUAAAAGUGAUUGCUAUGAUUAUCCAAUAUUAUAGUAAAUUAUUGUUAAAGCGGGUUCAUUAUUAUUAUUGAAAUCUCUUUUCUUUUGCAUUUUCUUACUCCCUUUCCCAGUCACACCUUUCCCCGGCUUAACUAUACACUAGCUUAGGCCGGGCUGUGACAGAGUGGUAUCUGAGCCAGGUUAUUUGCUCUGAGCCUAAAUAUUCCUUUGAGUCUAGUCUAAAUUUGAAUCUUUGGACUAGUAUGAGUAAUAUAGUAAAAGCUCUGCUCUCCAUCUCAUCCAGCUUAGCCAGGUACAGAUUUUCAGAGUUUUAAAGUAGCAUGUUACAUUUUUAAACAAGUUUGAGAUAUGAGUUGCAGUUUUGCAAGUAUUAGCAUGAUGGAAACUUAUAUAUUUUAAAAUGAGCGAGUAUGGACAACAUGAGUUAUAUAUGAGUAUCCUCUACUAGUAUGAACUUGAAUGGAUAAAAGUGUUGUUCAUAUUUAAUAUUUUUAUUUGAUACAUGGAGUAUUUUCAUUUGUGUAUAGUAAUGAAAAUCUUUGAGAUAUGUGGACGUAUAUUUAUACAUUGGAUGGAUGCAGAUAUAGACAGUUUGAUGAUACAAUAGCGAUGUAUGUCAGUGGCACUAUAACCUAGUACCAGUAGUGAUGUUAUACAGUUAGGGCAUCACAAUUAGUGCUAAGAGCCUUUUGCAACGUAUAUUUCCAUCUUUUGUAUGAGAACUCAUUGAGGCAAAAUUUCCCAUGAUGUGAAACGGCCGAAGUGGUCAUUUGCUAGGUCGUUGAGCUUUAAUUGCUUAGAUGAUUGAAUUUUUGUGUAUGAGUUUUUAUACCUUAGUUGGUUUAUGGUUAUGUAGUAGUUUGACUUUAUGGAUGGAAUAAAAGCUUAGUUAUGGGAAAUUGUGUAUUUACUCGGCACGAUGUCUCAAAGAAGCGGUGGAAAUCUGCCAUCCGCCAUGUGAAUAAUUUAGAGAACUACUCGUCCCCAUCAACUUGAAAGAAGAACAGCAGAAGUUUUUCAUCGUCAAAAUCCCUUUAUUGCGAGUUAAGCGGUAGAGUUUCAAAGAAGCGGUAGAGUUUUGCGAGUUUCAUGUUCUUAGAUGCAAUGCUUAAGAGCGCCUUCUUGUAUGUUAUUUCAACUACAAGAAUCAACUGAUUAUUAGUGGGAGACGAAGCAGAAGAUAUAAACCCUCGAGCGAUUAGAGAAUCUUAUUUGGGGCCAUUUGGGGUCAGUUCAUAGAAGCUUUUACCAAGAAUAUAUUUCCAGAAGCCGUCGUCAGCAAAAUGAGACGUAAUUUAACAAUUUAAAGCAAUAGAAGAAGACCGUGGUUGAAUAUGAUUGAGAGUUUUGUGACAUAGCUGGAUAUACGCCUUAUAAGGUUGACACAUAUAGUAGUUGUAACUUCUCAUAGAGUUUUGAUGUAGUGCCUUUGCUUGUUGGCAAGCCAAACAUUCCUUCAACUAAUGAAGCUAUAUCUCAUUUCCAUUUCUUCCCACCAAACUUUUGUUUGAGAUCUUGAUAUAAUUUAGUGCUUCUUUGGUGGGCACUAUAUAGCGUAUCAUGAGCUUUACUCUCAACUGUUCAGUAUUGGGUACACAACUUUUCUCAAACAUGAUAGCAGUACCCCUAGCUUUUUGGCAAGUAUUGAUCUCUUCUAUCAGAAUCCUUACCCGUAGUUUUUCUACCUUUUCAUUUUUCCUUUGUAUUGUAACAAUUCUGAUUCUCAAAUCAGGAGCUACUGUUGAAAUUGCAAUUACAGCUUCUAUGGUUUGUGGUGGUAAAACCACUUCUAAAUUCAACCUUUCGAAUUCCUUGAUCAAUUUUCUUCAUGGGUAAGGAGAAAUCCUUAGUUAACUUGAGUUUUUCUACUCAAGGCAUCCACUACUAUAUUGGCGUUGCGUGGGUGAUAAUUUAUUCUACAAUCAUAGUCCCUUACUAAUUCGAGCUAUAUUCUUUGCCUCAUACUUAGAUCUUUUUGCUCGAAUAAGUAUUUUGAAAUUUUUAUGAGGUGUAUCAAUUCCACAUUUCGUUCCAUAAUACUAUUGUUGGCUAGUUCCAAGUUGUGUUGAGCAAUUCAGUUCUUGCGGUCUAAGUUUUCAUGACCCAUUAACAAUAACUCUUUCACCUUGCAACAAUGCACAACCAAGUCCAUCUUUGAUACACAGGACCGAUUUCAUAUGGUCUUUCAACUUUGAGAAUUCGGGCAAAUUUUAAAAUAGCCUUUCAUCCAGUAACAGAUGAGCAAUUUGAGAGAAAUCUUUAGACCUUGGAAGAUGUGAUACAGACUAUUGUACUAGAGCGAAGAAGUGGCUACUUUAGCAGUAGGGACACUGGCAAUCGUGAGUGAUUCCGGGUUCCAAAACUCUCUUUUCAAAAAUGAUUUUUUUUAGAAGGAGCGAAUUCCCCGCAAACAGGGCAGGAGACGACCAUCUCAAGGUGCAUCACGCGUACUCAGAAGCCGCAUUAUGCACUAGAUUGAAGGAUGAAUUGGGAAAACGCUUUUGCUACUCAUUGAAUUUGCCUACAAUAAUAGUUUUUGGGCAACAAUUGAUAUGACACCAUAUGGAGCUUAUUGUGGAAAGAAAUAUUGAUCUCCACUCUAUUGACAUGAGGUAAGUGAAAGAAAAGUGACAGGACCUGAUGCGGUUGAAGAAAUGAUUACGCUUAUCCGACAAAUUCGACAACUGCUCAAGGAACCUCAAGAGCGACAUAAACUUUUUGCAGAUACUCGUUGAUUUGAUUUGAAUUUUUGAAAUAGGGGAUGAAGUUUUUCUCAAUGUUCCGCAUUCUAAAGGAGUGCACAAGUUCGAUGUGAAAGAGAAGUAUCUAGAAUUAUUUUCGGACGUAGUCAAAUUUCGAGGAUGAAAUUUCUUUAAGGGGGAGAGGAUGUAACACCCGGCAUUUUCACUACAGUAUAUAUGUUAUUAUUAAUAUUAUUUUCUAUUUUCUAUUAUCUAAAAGAAGAAAGAGAAGUAGAAUCACUGAGAUGAGAUGAGAUAUCAUUAUAAUACUCUGAGCUUUUAAUUCAGUGAUUGCAUAAUUUGAAUAAUUAAGUAUUCUUGUAUCCUUUAUUAAUUUUAUUCUUUGAAGCAAGUUUAUAAUUCCUAGUUAAAGGGAUUAUUUUAUUAUUUUCAGAGAUGAGAAUGGUGAUAAAUACGAAAUAUUAUUAGUCGACUUAUUGCUCGACUAAUUGAAGUGACAGAUGUUAUUUAAUUAUUUAUCUACGAGCUUUCUAAUGAAUUUAUUGAUUUAAUAAUCAAGAUCAACUACUAAAUCAAUAGUGGGAAUAGUAUGUGAAUAUUUGUUUAUUUUUAGAGUAUGAGAUUUAUUAUUAUUUCAUUAUAGAUUUUUUCCACUAUUAAAUUUUUAAUUUAGAAUUCCAUUAUAUUAUAUAUAUAUAUAUAUAUACUAAUAUCUCUCUUUUUCCCAAAAUGGGCCGAGUAACAGUGGCCACCAAAUUGGGUUCCUAAUUACAUGAUAACAAAUGGGUUUUAUAAGAUUUUUAAUGCACAAUUCCCAAAAACAAAAGAAGGAUAACUACGCAUGUUAUUAGAAUUGAGGAAGAAAUCAUUUUUCCUUCUUCUAGCUGAUACUGUCGAGUUUUUCCCCCAAAAGCAGAAUCACCAUUUUCUUCCUUCAAGUUCAAUUCGGAGAGAAAUUUCAUAUAGUAGCUGCAAUACUUUGAUAAUAAAGGUGAAUUUCUUUGAUCCUCUGUUAUCUCUGCGAUUUUAGCUUGAAGAAAAUUUAUUCUUUUAAUCUAGGGUUUCUUCGAGAAUUUGGAGAUUUUAUUCUAGAGUUAAAAUAUGAUUGUAAUAUUGAGAUAUAUUAUGUUUUUGAUGUUCCUAAGCAUGAUUAUGGUGGUUAAUUGUAUUAAUUCUUACUUGAUUUCGAGUUUACUCAAGUUAGUAUGAACCCUAGGUUUGAGGAUGAGAGUUUUGAUUAUGUUCUUGAAUAAUUGGACUCAUAUAUGUGUUCUUGAGUUGGAAUUAUGUCAUAUAUGAGUAAAUUACGAGUUUACACUAUAUAGGAUGUGAGAUUGAGUUUGUUAGUUUAAUGAAAAUUGGGGCUUUUGAGAUAAGAAGGUUUAUAUGCUAUUAAUUGAUGGAUAUAAAUAUAUUAUGAUGUGAUUUUAUUAGAUAUGGGCAUUAGAACAGCCCUAUUACCUCAUUUUUUUUGUAAGGCUCUAAUGUAUGGACAAUUGUUAUAAGAAUUGUUAUGUUAUAAGUUGUUGGCUUAGUUGAGGUGUUAAACAUGAGUUAAGUUUGAAGUUAAAGCAUCCUAGCAUGUGUUAUGAUCAUGUGUUUGAGUCUCUACACAUUUUAUUUGGCCAAAGUAUGAGUUAUAUGUUGAAUUGAAACAAAGAAUACAUUGAUGUCAGUUUUUAACUUGGCAGAGCAGUGUCUUGGGGGAUGAUUUUAAUGAUGUUCCCAUAGUCCAAAUGAGUUGAAAUUUUUACAGUAAUAACUUCAUUAUGAGUAUUAGAUCUCUGCAAAAUUUCAGCUGAAUCCGAGACCUCUAGAUAGGUCAAACAAUUUUCUGAAAAGUACUGCGCUAAGCAGCGAGGUUCUGUGGCAGAUUCUGCCUUUUGUGAGAUAAUUUCUUAUACAUUUGAGAUAUUGUGUUUUUAUAAAUUCCCGAUAAAUAUAGACUUUAGUAGAAUUCUAAAAGUGUAAAGCUUAUAUUUUUCUUUGAAGAGGUUGAUUUUAUAUGAUUUUUCAAAGUUGAGAUUCAUUUAUGAAGACAUGUUUGAGAUUUCUUACUUGGGAUAGUUAUAAAUAGAACCAUGCUAAGUGAUUGAUGUUUAGUUAUUAAUCGUAAGCUAACCUAUAUAGAAUGGAUUAGUUUACUCUU